CCUACGGGUGACAGCAGUGAGGAAUAUUGGUCAAUGGGCGCGAGCCUGAACCAGCCAAGUCGCGUGCGGGAUGAAGGUUCUAUGGAUCGUAAACCUCUUUUAUAAGGUAAUAAAGUGUGGGACGUGUCCUUUUUUGUAUGUACCUUAUGAAUAAGGAUCUGCUAACUCCGUGCCAGCAGCCGCGGUAAUACGGAGGAUCCGAGCGUUAUCCGGAUGUAUUGGGUUUAACGGGUGCGUAGGCGGCCUUUUAAGUCAGCGGUGAAAGUCUGUGGCUCAACCAUGGAAUUGCAGGGGAAACUGGGGGGCUUGAGUAUGUUUGAGGCAGGCGGAAUGCGUGGUGUAGCGGUGAAAUGCUUAGAUAUCACGCAGAACCCCGAUUGCGAAGGCAGCCUGCCAAGCCAUGACUGACGCUGAUGCACGAAAGCGUGGGGAUCAAACAGGAUUAGAUACCCCUGUAGUC
rnacentral:rRNA from 1 species